rnacentral:rRNA from 1 species
AAGCAGUGGGAGCCUCUUUUAUGGGGUGACUGCGUACCUUUUGUAUAAUGGGUCAGCGACUUAUAUUCUGUAGCAAGGUUAACCGUAUAGGGGAGCCGGAGGGAAACCGAGUCUUAACCGGGCGUUAAGUUGCAGGGUAUAGACCCGAAACCCGGUGAUCUAGCCAUGGGCAGGUUGAAGGUUGGGUAACACUAACUGGAGGACCGAACCGACUAAUGUUGAAAAAUUAGCGGAUGACCUGUGGCUGGGGGUGAAAGGCCAAUCAAACCGGGAGAUAGCUGGUUCUCCCCGAAAGCUAUUUAGGUAGCGCCUCGUGAAUUCAUCUCCGGGGGUAGAGCACUGUUUCGGCUAGGGGGCCAUCCCGGCUUACCAACCCGAUGCAAACUGCGAAUACCGGAGAAUGUUAUCACGGGAGACACACGGCGGGUGCUAACGUCCGUCGUGAAGAGGGAAACAACCCAGACCGCCAGCUAAGGUCCCAAAGUCAUGGUUAAGUGGGAAACGAUGUGGGAAGGCCCAGACAGCCAGGAUGUUGGCUUAGAAGCAGCCAUCAUUUAAAGAAAGCGUAAUAGCUCACUGGUCGAGUCGGCCUGCGCGGAAGAUGUAACGGGGCUAAACCAU